rnacentral:rRNA from 1 species
CACGCCGUAAACGAUGAUUACUAGGUGUGGGGGGACUGACCCCUUCCGUGCCGCAGUUAACACAAUAAGUAAUCCACCUGGGGAGUACGGCCGCAAGGCUAAAACUCAAAGGAAUUGACGGGGGCCCGCACAAGCAGUGGAGUAUGUGGUUUAAUUCGAAGCAACGCGAAGAACCUUACCAGGUCUUGACAUCGAGUGACGUACUAAGAGAUUAGUACACCCUUCGGGGCACAAAGACAGGUGG